rnacentral:rRNA from 1 species
CGCUGGCGGCGCGUUUAAGCAUGCAAGUCGAGCGGCAAGGGCCUUCGGGCCCCUAGAGCGGCGGACGGGUGAGUAACACGUGGACAAUCUGCCCCCCGGCCCGGGAUAGCCCCAGGGAAACCUGGAUUAAUACCGGAUGAGACGGGACCCGCGAUGGCGGGACCCGGGAAAGGCGCUGCGGCGCCGCCGGGGGAUGAGUCUGCGUCCCAUUAGCUAGACGGCGGGGUAACGGCCCACCGUGGCGACGAUGGGUAGCCGGCCUGAGAGGGUGGACGGCCACAUUGGAACUGAGACACGGUCCAGACUCCUACGGGAGGCAGCAGCUAAGAAUCUUCCGCAAUGGGCGAAAGCCUGACGGAGCGACGCCGCGUGAACGAAGAAGGCCGUGAGGUUGUAAAGUUCUUUCGGGAGGGGGAACAACCGUGGCAGGGAAUGGCCGCGGGAUGACGUGAAUCCCGGAAUAAGCCCCGGCUAACUACGUGCCAGCAGCAGC